UACGUAGGGGCCUAGCGUUGUCCGGAUUUAUUGGGCGUAAAGAGCUCGUAGGCGGUUCGGCAAGUCGGAUGUGAAAUCUCCACGCUCAACGUGGAGGGCCAUUCGAAACUGCCGUGACUUGAGUCCGGUAGGGGAGUGUGGAAUUCCCGGUGUAGCGGUGAAAUGCGCAGAUAUCGAGAGGAACACCGGUGGCGAAGGCGGCCUUCUGGACAGUGACUGACGCUGAGACGCGAAAGCGUGGGGAGCAAACAGG
rnacentral:rRNA from 1 species